UUGAGUCAGAUUGAGAAAGCGCUAUAGAGUCAGUAUAGACAGAAGGAAUCAUAACAGCCACCAGUAACUCUUAACAUUUUGGCAUUGAAAAGAUGAACCAGACAUUGCUGACACUCCUCACUGUGGACACUGACACUGAUGCUCCUGGUGCAGUCCUCUUCAGCCAAAGUGAAAGGUGGCUGUGGAUGGAUUUGUCUGUUUCUCUUAUGCCUUUGGUGUGAGAGACUCGGGUUUAAUUCCCCAUUGUGACACGUCCACCAAUGUGUCCCUGCUCUAGGGGCGUGCAACCUCUGACAUAUAUAGCUAUUGUAAGUAGCUAUGAAUAAAAGCGUCAGCUAAAUGUUAAUGGAACUUAUGUACAAACUCCUGAAAGCACUUCUGAACUGGCCGUUCAGGCCAACUGUGACGAGGUCCACAAGAUGAGGUUCAGCGACCUGUUCGCCCGGGCGUAGGAAUACGAGGACUCCCAGACCAAGCCUCCCAAGUCCCGCCGUAAAGCUCCGGCCUCCUCGCCUCGCUCCCGGAAAGGAGCGGCUCCGACCACCAACAACGAGGAGGAGAGAGCCUCCAGCAGCGCCUCGGUACAUAACCCCACCUCCAACUGCUCCUCUGUGUGAGGUCAACCUGAAUCUGCGUCUUGUUCUUUGAUUGGUCCGUUUCAAAACUACAACGGGAAAUUUGAUAUGUAAUGUGUCUGAUUUGUGAAACCAGGAAGCAGCUUUGUGUCUUCACCAAGCUCCUCCUACAGGUUUGAAAAGUGAAGCCUCAAACCUGCAUUCUCUGUAACAGCCAGCACUGGGGCGACUCCACUGGGUCGUAUAGA